AGAGUUUGAUCCUGGCUCAGAUUGAACGCUGGCGGCAUGGUUAAAGCAUGCAAGUCGAACGCGAAAGCAACUUCGGUUGCAAGUAGAGUGGCGAACGGGGGAGGAAUACGUUUCUAACGUGCCCCAAGGUCGAGGAUAGCUCGGGGAAACCCGGGGUAAUACUCGAUGACCCCCAUGGAUCGCAUGGUUCGUGGGGCAAAGGCUUGCUGCCUUGGGAUCGGGAAACGCGGUAUCAGGUUGUUGGUGAGGUAACGGCUCACCAAGCCUUAGACGCCUAGCGGGUGUGAGAGCAUGACCCGCCACAUCGGGACUGAGACACUGCCCGGACUCCUACGGGAGGCUGCAGCGACGAAUCUUCCGCAAUGCGCGAAAGCGUGACGGAGCAAUGCCGCGUGUGGGAUGAAGCAUCUUGAUGUGUAAACCACUGUCAGGGUUUAGGAAUUUUUGACCAGACCCAAAGGAAGGGCCGGCUAACUUCGUGCCAGCAGCCGCGGUAAUACGAAGGGCCCGAGCGUUGAUCGGAAUCACUGGGCUUAAAGGGUGCGCAGGCGGGCUCGUUAGUGUCUUGUGAAAUCCCACGGCUCAACCGUGGAACUGCAGGGCAUACUGCGAGUCUUGAGGUAGGUAGGGGCAAUCGGAACUCUAGGUGUAGCGGUGAAAUGCGUAGAUAUCUAGAGGAACGCCAAAGGUGAAGACAGAUUGCUGGGCCUAUCCUGACGCUCAGGCACGAAAGCGUGGGGAGCGAAGAGGAUUAGAUACCCUCGUAGUCCACGCCGUAAACGAUGUGCACUAGAUCCUGGAGCCUCUGACGGUAUCGGGAUCGAAGAGAAAUUGUUAAGUGCACCGCCUGGGGAGUACGGCCGCAAGGCUAAAACUCAAAGGAAUUGACGGGGGCUCACACAAGCGGUGGAGCAUGUGGCUUAAUUCGAAGCAACGCGAAGAACCUUAUCCAGGGUUUGACAUGUAUGGAUUAUUGAUCCGAAAGGUGAUAGACGCUCUCUGCGUGGAAUAUACACAGGUGCUGCAUGGCUGUCGUCAGCUCGUGCUGUGAAGUGUUGGGUUAAGUCCCUUAACGAGCGAAACCCCUAUCGUUAGUUGCCAGCGAGUCAUGUCGGGGACUCUAACGAGACUGCCGGUGUUAAACCGGAGGAAGGUGGGGAUGACGUCAAGUCCUCAUGGCCUUUAUGCCUAGGGCUGCACACGUGCUACAAUGGUAAUGACAAAGCGACGCGAUACCGCAAGGUGGAGCAAAUCGCAUAAACAUUGCCCCAGUUCGGAUUGUAGUCUGCAACUCGACUACAUGAAGUUGGAAUCGCUAGUAAUCGCGUAUCAGCUACGACGCGGUGAAUACGUUCCUGAGCCUUGUACACACCGCCCGUCAAGUCAUGGGAGCCGGUAGUGCCCGAAGUCGCACUGUUUCAAGUGUGCCUACGGCAAGAUCGGUGACUGGGACUAAGUCGUAACAAGGUAACC
rnacentral:rRNA from 1 species